rnacentral:rRNA from 1 species
CCUACGGGUGGCAGCAGUGGGGAAUAUUGCACAAUGGGGGAAACCCUGAUGCAGCGACGCCGCGUGAGUGAAGAAGGAUUUCGGUACGUAAAGCUCUAUCAGCAGGGAAGAAAAGGACGGUACCUGACUAAGAAGCCCCGGCUAACUACGGGCCAGCAGCCGCGGGAAUACGUCGGGGGCAAGCGUUAUCCGGAUUUACUGGGUGUACAGGGAGCGUAGACGGCAGCGCAAGUCUGGAGUGAAAUCCCCUGGCUUAACCAUGGAACUGCUUUUGAAACUGUGCAGCUGGAGUGCAGGAGCGGUCAGCGGAAUUCCUCGUGUAGCGGUGAAAUGCUUAGAUAUUAGGAGGAACCCCAGUGGCGACGGCGGCUUACUGGACUGUACCUGACGUUGCGGCUCGACAGCGUGGGGAGCAAACAGGAUUAGAUACCCUGGUAGUC